rnacentral:rRNA from 1 species
UUAACACAUGCAAGUCGAACGAGAUCCAUGAUGUAGCAAUACAUCGGAAGAUCUAGUGGCGAACGGGUGAGGAUCACGUGAGAAACCUGCCCCAGACUCUGGGAUAACAAUUGGAAACGAUUGCUAAUACCGGAUGACGUCGGAGAACCGCAUGGUUCACUGACGAAAGAUAUUUCGGUUUGGGAGGGUCUCGCGGCCUAUCAGCUUGUUGGUGGGGUAAUGGCCUACCAAGGCAACGACGGGUAGCUGGUCUGAGAGGAUGAUCAGCCACACUGGGACUGAGACACGGCCCAGACUCCUACGGGAGGCAGCAGUGGGGAAUCUUGCGCAAUGGGCGAAAGCCUGACGCAGCAACGCCGCGUGCGGGAUGAAGGCCUUCGGGCUGUAAACCGCUUUCAGCAGGAACGAAGAUGACGGUACCUGCAGAAGAAGGAGCGGCCAACUACGUGCCAGCAGCCGCGGUGACACGUAGGCUCCAAGCGUUGUCCGGAUUUAUUGGGCGUAAAGAGCUCGUAGGCGGUUUAGUAAGUCGGGUGUGAAAACUCUGGGCUUAACCCGGAGACGCCAUCCGAUACUGCUAUGACUUGAGUUCAGGAGGGGAGCGGGGAAUUCCUAGUGUAGCGGUGAAAUGCGCAGAUAUUAGGAGGAACACCGGUGGCGAAGGCGCCGCUCUGGACUGAAACUGACGCUGAGGAGCGAAAGCAUGGGUAGCAAACAGGAUUAGAUACCCUGGUAGUCCAUGCCGUAAACGGUGGGCACUAGGUGUGGGUUCCAACUAACGGGAUCCGCGCCGUCGCUAACGCAUUAAGUGCCCCGCCUGGGGAGUACGGUCGCAAGACUAAAACUCAAAGGAAUUGACGG